rnacentral:lncRNA from 1 species
CCCUCAGGCGGCCUGUUCCACGCCAGGAUUAGUUUUGCUUCGCAGAUGGGCCGUGGUGGUGAGAGGAAGCAAUCAGUAUGGAAAUGGAGAAAUGGCUUACCAUGCAUGUCCUUCUCCCCAGGAGGGAGGUCGUGGUGCAGGCGAGCAGACGCCAGACUCCUGGACACUUGCCGCCUGCGUUAUGGAGGCUUAGCUAAUAACCUUGCAGGGGUCUUCAGGCUUUUCCACUGGCUCACCUUUAGGCUUCUGACACUUUUACCUACGGUAUGUGAACCUCGAAAAUUUGAGACAGGUCUCAGUUAACUUAGAAAGUUUAUUUUGCCAACGUUGAGGACAUGCCCGUGACACAGCCUCAGGAAGUCCUGAGGACAUGUGCCCAAGGUGGUCAGGGCACAGCUUGGUUUUAUACAUUUUGGGGAGACAGGAGACAUCAAUCAAUAUGUAAAAAGUACAUUAGUUCCUUCCAGAAAGGCGGAGACCGUUAAAAGCAAGCCCCGCCCCCCCCAACUGGGGGCUUCCAGAUUGAAAAAAGACGAGAUUCCAUGAGACUAGAAAUGUAGGAGCAUCUCAGACCUUCACAGAACGCUCUGUUAGAAGAUGAGAAACAUAACGUUGCUUGUGAGAGGUGAAGCCAGCUGGACUUCCUGGGUCGAGUGGGGACUUGGAGAACUUUUCUGUCUAGCUAAAGGAUUAUAAGUGCACCAAUCAGCACUCUGUAAAAACACACCAGUCAGCGCUCUGUGUCUAGCUAAAGGAUUGUAAAUGCACCAAUCAGCACUCUGUAAAAUGGACCAAUCAGUACCCUGUAAAAUGGACCAAUCAGCAGGACGUGGGCAGGGACAAAUAAGGGAAUAACAGCUGGCGCCCCUAGCCAGCAGUGGCAACCCACUCGGAUCACCUUCCAUGCUGUGGAAGCUUUGUUAUUUCACUUUUCACAAUAAAUCUUAGGGUUGCUUACUUUUUGGGUCCAUGCCACCUUGAAGAGCUGUAACACUCACCACGAAGGUCUGAGGCUUCAUUCUUGAAGUCAGACUAAGAACCCACCGGAAGGAACCAAUUCCAGACACACGUGUAGUAGCAAAUUAUCAAAAAUGUUCAUUGCCUUUUCUGAAAAACAAUUUUCCCAGAAACACCUGGCAGAAUCAGAGUUCAUUGUGUCAAAAGAAAAACUUUGGACAAAUUAAAAUGAGCAAAGAACAAUUUGUGAAAUGUGCCCCUCUCCCAACCAGAACAGGUUCAAAGAGACUCCAGUGCUGCCACAUGAUCAAAGAAUUAUGGACAAAAAAAGCAAAUAAAUUACAGGAAAAGAAAAUGAGAUAAUGCAGUAGUUACUUUUUGAAGGACGACCGAAGCAGGAUAUUUCCCUGACCCCUUCAUGGGACCCACGUCAGAGGUGUUUACUCAGCCUGCUGCCCACAACUCCUCACAGGAGGGAGCGCACAAGUGAACGAGGGUGAGGACUGGAGAGCACCAGCACUGGAACAACCCGGCCACUUCGGCGCUACUGGGAUCAAACUCCAUCACUUGGACACACUGUGUUCCACCCCUCGUGGGAGGGAGCAUGCAGGUGAGAGGAUGCAGGAGUCAGGGUGAGCACUUUUGGGCUCCAGCAGGAGCAAACUCUGUGCAGGGCCCUGCAGCAGUGACUGAGGGGCGGCCUGUGACUCCCAAAGCCCCAGAGGACAUGCUACAGUGCUCUUUUAGCUCUACCAUCCGUAGGUGGCUUAAGUGUAAACAGCUCAGUGG